rnacentral:rRNA from 1 species
ACACACCAGCCCGUAGAGUUCUUUCUUUGGGGGAUUAGGGCGAACGGGUGAGUAACACGUGAGUAACCUGCCCUGGACUUUGGGAUAAGCGUUGGAAACGACGUCUAAUACCGGAUAGGACCCUGGAUCGCAUGAUCUGGGGUGGAAAGUUUUUCGGUCUGGGAUGGACUCGCGGCCUAUCAGCUUGUUGGUGAGGUAAUGGCUCACCAAGGCGUCGACGGGUAGCCGGCCUGAGAGGGUGACCGGCCACACUGGGACUGAGACACGGCCCAGACUCCUACGGGAGGCAGCAGUGGGGAAUAUUGCACAAUGGGCGCAAGCCUGAUGCAGCAACGCCGCGUGCGGGAUGACGGCCUUCGGGUUGUAAACCGCUUUUAGUAGGGAAGAAGGGCUUCGGCUUGACGGUACCUGCAGAAAAAGGACCGGCUAACUACGUGCCAGCAGCCGCGGUAAUACGUAGGGUCCGAGCGUUGUCCGGAAUUAUUGGGCGUAAAGAGCUCGUAGGCGGUUUGUCGCGUCUGCUGUGAAAUCUGGAGGCUCAACCUCCAGCCUGCAGUGGGUACGGGCAGACUAGAGUGCGGUAGGGGAGAAUGGAAUUCCUGGUGUAGCGGUGGAAUGCGCAGAUAUCAGGAGGAACACCGAUGGCGAAGGCAGUUCUCUGGGCCGUAACUGACGCUGAGGAGCGAAAGCGUGGGGAGCGAACAGGAUUAGAUACCCUGGUAGUCCACGCCGUAAACGUUGGGCGCUAGAUGUGGGGACCUUUCCACGGUUUCCGUGUCGUAGCUAACGCAUUAAGCGCCCCGCCUGGGGAGUACGGCCGCAAGGCUAAAACUCAAAGGAAUUGACGGGGGCCCGCACAAGCGGCGGAGCAUGCGGAUUAAUUCGAUGCAACGCGAAGAACCUUACCAAGGCUUGACAUGACCGAGAACGCCGCAGAAAUGUGGAACUCUUUGGACACUCGGUUACAGGUGGUGCAUGGUUGUCGUCAGCUCGUGUCGUGAGAUGUUGGGUUAAGUCCCGCAACGAGCGCAACCCUCGUCGCAUGUUGCCAGCACGUAAUGGUGGGAACUCAUGUGAGACUGCCGGGGUCAACUCGGAGGAAGGUGGGGAUGACGUCAAAUCAUCAUGCCCCUUAUGUCUUGGGCUUCACGCAUGCUACAAUGGCCGGUACAAAGGGCUGCGAUGUCGUAAGGCGGAGCGAAUCCCAAAAAGCCGGUCUCAGUUCGGAUUGAGGUUUGCAACUCGACCUCCUGAAAUCGGAAUCGUUGAUCCUGCUC